UACGUAGGGACCAAGCGUUGUUCGGAUUUACCGGUGGCGUAAAGGGCGCGUAGGCGGCUUGACAAGUCACUUGUGAAAUCUCCGGGCUUAACUCGGAACGGCCAAGUGAAACUGUCGAGCUAGAGUGUAGAAGGGGCAAUCGGAAUUCUUGGUGUAGCGGUGAAAUGCGUAGAUAUCAAGAGGAACACCUGAGGUGAAGACGGGUUGCUGGUCUAACACUGACGCUGAGGCGCGAAAGCCAGGGGAGCAAACGGG
rnacentral:rRNA from 1 species